GUCGGGCCUCCGCCCUUCCGGGCCGCGCGCACGUGAGCGCGCCGCUCCGCCUGUCUAAUUUUAGCUCUGAGGUGUCAGGGUCGUGCGAGAUGGUUUCCUGCAUGUCUGUGAGGAGUGGAGGAGGACAUGUCUGUCAUCCAGAGUAACCGGGUCAAGGAUGUGUGGUUAGAUUGGAAAGGAAGACAUCUGCUUGCAUCAGCUCAACUUUGAAGACAGGGGGUGCACUGACCCCCACCCUCUCUCCCAUCUCACAUGAGGAUGACCAGAGAGGGUUGGUGUUCGAGAUUUGCCAUAAUGUGUGGGAUCAGGAACCAGAUAAAAGUUUAGUGUUGAAGAAAUGAAUGCCAGGCACCUUGUAAAAUUGGCACCGCAGCCCUGUCAUCAGAAAGUGAGCUGUUCUUUUGACACACAGAGUUGUUUGCCAUGUCACAGUGACCUGCAUUCUGUUAGUGAGGGAGCCUCAGGUUUCACAUGGGUUGUCUCUGUAUAAGCUGUAAAAUGAUAGCCUCUGGCCUUUAUGGUAUUGGGAAACUUGAAGUGUUUAAUGAUAAAAGUGGUUUCUAAUGGUAAAAAAAAAAAAAAAAAAAAAAAAA
rnacentral:lncRNA from 1 species